GGUAAUGAUGACCCCUGGUGAGUCUGAGUGUCCGCUGACGCCAUCACCGCAGCGCGCUGACC
rnacentral:snoRNA from 1 species